GACGAACGCUGGCGGCGUGCUUAACACAUGCAAGUCGAACGGAGAGGCCCCUUUGGGGGUACUCGAGUGGCGAACGGGUGAGUAACACGUGAGUAACCUGCCCUUGACUGCGGGAUAACUGCAGGAAAGUGGGGCUAAUACCGGAGAGGAAUCCUUUCUGCAUGGUGGGGGUUGGAAAGUUUCGGCGGGUUUGGAUGGACUCGCGGCUUAGCAGCUUGUUGGUGGGGUUGUGGCGUAACGAGGCGGUGAGGGGUAGGCGGGCUGGGAGGGCUAACGGCCAACAUGGGACCGAGGAUAGGCCCCGGCCCCUACGGGAGGGAACAGGGGGGAAGAUUGCCACAGGGGCGGCAGCCCGAUGCAGCAGCGCCGCGGUCGGGAUGACGGCCUUCGGGUUGUAAACCCCCUUCAGCAGGGGAGAAGCUUGUGGUGACGGUACCUACAGAAGAAGCACCGGCUAACUACGUG
rnacentral:rRNA from 1 species